CCAAGGAGUCUAACAUGUGCGCGAGUCAUUGGGUCUUGUUCAGGCCCAAAGGCGCAAUGAAAGUGAAGGCCGAUUCCGUCGGCUGCGUUGGGAUCCCGUCCUCUCGAGGGCGGGCGCACCAACGGCCCGUCCCGAUCGCCGCGUCGAUGGGGCGGAGUGAGAGCGUACACGUUGGGACCCGAAAGAUGGUGAACUAUGCCUGGGCAGGACGAAGCCAGAGGAAACUCUGGUGGAGGUCCGCAGCGAUUCUGACGUGCAAAUCGAUCGUCAGACCUGGGUAUAGGGGCGAAAGACUAAUCGAACCAUCUAGUAGCUGGUUCCCUCCGAAGUUUCCCUCAGGAUAGCUGGCGCUCGGAGGAGGCAUUCUCAUCCGGUAAAGCGAAUGAUUAGAGGCCUUGGGGCCGAAACGACCUCAACCUAUUCUCAAACUUUAAAUGGGUGAGAAGUCCGGCUUGCUCGACUGAAGCCCGGACGCGAAGAUGCGAGUGCCCAGUGGGCCACUUUUGGUAAGCAGAACUG
rnacentral:rRNA from 1 species